UUAAACUCCCCACCCCUUCAGUGCCAUAUCUUUAGGUGGGUGGGGGGAAGGAGGUGAUCUGCCCCUCCUCCCCUCCCCUCAUAUUCCUCCUUCCUCUUGAAUCACACUUUUCUCCUUCUCCCCCUAUUUUACAAUCUGGUGGGAUGAAGACCAUGGGCAUGAUUUCCCACAUCACCACCAUCUUUACCCUGUGAGUCUUGCUCCAUACCGACUCAAAAUCCAUGGCUCAUCCAGAUUCAUUCACCUCUCCUUUGAUCUGGCCUCAUCCUUGGUUUGUAGCUGCAAAUUUCAAACGCGUUUUGGAACUUUUUAUUGGAAGUUGUGUAGAGCUCUAGCUCGGGUGCUUGCACCACCUCCUUCCAGGUUCUUGGUUCUUUUUCUCCUGGAAUGAGUUUUCUCAUUCUUUCUUUGCUAGCUGUUGUCUUUUGGAUGUAUUGAUUGGGUUAAUUUUGGUUUAUGUUUGGUGAAUCUCGAGUGGGCUAUAUUUUGAGGGAUAUUUGGCUUAGUUUUCUGACCUAUGGGUGUUUGGUUCUUCAUGUUGGUGAUUGGUGGUUUGUCCAUCUACAAUUUUGGAGUUUCUCUUUGCUAGUGGCGGAUUGGAAUUUCUCUUUGGUAAUGACAGCUAACUUUCAUGUGCUUGAUUUUAUGUAUUUUAUGGUUAAUGUGGGCUUUAAGCUGAAUGUGGGCUUUAUGCCGAAUGCGGCCAUAAUGCCUCUUUGUGGGCUAUAUGCCUUUAUGUUGGCUUUUGCCAUUUUAGGUUUUUUUUUGCUCGAUAACAUGAUCUUCAUGCUAUACUGUAAUAGUUUUAGCUAGAUUUGUUUCUAUUUGUUUCCUAUUGAUUUUAUGGCAGAUGUUUUUGCUCGUCUUUAUUUGUAUUGUUCUCUGCCCUUUUGAGGAAUUGCAAUGAAUUGGAACUUCAACC
rnacentral:lncRNA from 1 species